AGAGUUUGAUCAUGGCUCAGGAUGAACGCUAGCGGCAGGCUUAACACAUGCAAGUCGAGGGGUAACAGGGAGCUUGCUCUGCUGACGACCGGCGCACGGGUGCGCAACGCGUAUGCAAUCUACCUCUUACUAAGGGAUAGCCCAGAGAAAUUUGGAUUAAUAUCUUAUGUGGUAUAUGACUGGCAUCAGUUAUAUAUUAAAGGUUACGGUAAGAGAUGAGCAUGCGUCUCAUUAGUUAGUUGGUGUGGUAAUGGCACACCAAGACUUCGAUGAGUAGGGGUCCUGAGAGGGAGAUCCCCCACACUGGUACUGAGACACGGACCAGACUCCUACGGGAGGCAGCAGUGAGGAAUAUUGGACAAUGGACGGAAGUCUGAUCCAGCCAUGCCGCGUGUAGGAAGACUGCCCUAUGGGUUGUAAACUACUUUUAUACAGGAAGAAUAAGAUCUACGUGUAGAUUGAUGACGGUACUGUAAGAAUAAGGACCGGCUAACUCCGUGCCAGCAGCCGCGGUAAUACGGAGGGUCCGAGCGUUAUCCGGAAUUAUUGGGUUUAAAGGGUCCGUAGGCGGGCUGUUAAGUCAGAGGUGAAAUGCUGCGGCUCAACCGUAUGCACUGCCUUUGAUACUGGCGGUCUUGAGUUAUAGUGAAGUGGCUAGAAUAAGUAGUGUAGCGGUGAAAUGCAUAGAUAUUACUUAGAAUACCGAUUGCGAAGGCAGGUCACUAACUAUACACUGACGCUGAUGGACGAAAGCGUGGGUAGCGAACAGGAUUAGAUACCCUGGUAGUCCACGCCGUAAACGAUGGAUACUAGCUGUUGGGAGCAAUCUCAGUGGCUAAGCGAAAGUGAUAAGUAUCCCACCUGGGGAGUACGRACGCAAGUUUGAAACUCAAAUGAAUUGACGG
rnacentral:rRNA from 1 species